AGUGAACGCUGGCGGUAGGCCUAACACAUGCAAGUCGAACGGCAGCACAGUAAGAGCUUGCUCUUACGGGUGGCGAGUGGCGGACGGGUGAGGAAUACAUCGGAAUCUACUUUUUCGUGGGGGAUAACGUAGGGAAACUUACGCUAAUACCGCAUACGACCUACGGGUGAAAGCAGGGGAUCUUCGGACCUUGCGCGAUUGAAUGAGCCGAUGUCGGAUUAGCUAGUUGGCGGGGUAAAGGCCCACCAAGGCGACGCUCCGUAGCUGGUCUGAGAGGAUGAUCAGCCACACUGGAACUGAGACACGGUCCAGACUCCUACGGGAGGCAGCAGUGGGGAAUAUUGGACAAUGGGCGCAAGCCUGAUCCAGCCAUACCGCGUGGGUGAAGAAGGCCUUCGGGUUGUAAAGCCCUUUUGUUGGGAAAGAAAAGCAGCAGGUUAAUACCCCGUUGUUCUGACGGUACCCAAAGAAUAAGCACCGGCUAACUUCGUG
rnacentral:rRNA from 1 species